rnacentral:rRNA from 1 species
GAUGAACGCUGGCGGCGUGCCUAAUACAUGCAAGUCGAGCGAACAGACGAGGAGCUUGCUCCUCUGACGUUAGCGGCGGACGGGUGAGUAACACGUGGAUAACCUACCUAUAAGACUGGGAUAACUUCGGGAAACCGGAGCUAAUACCGGAUAAUAUAUUAAACCGCAUGUUUAAAUAGUAAAAGACGGUUUUGCUGUCCCUUAUAGAUGGAUCCGCGCCGCAUUGGCUAGUGGGUAAGGUAACGGCUUACCAAGGCAACGAUGCGUAGCCGACCUGAGAGGGUGAGCGGCCACACGGGAACUGAGACACGGUCCAGACUCCUACGGGAGGCAGCAGUAGGGAAUCUUCCGCAAUGGGCGAAAGCUUGACGGAGCAACGCAGCGUGAGUGAUGAAGGUCUUCGGAUCGUAAAACUCUGUUAUUAGGGAAGAACAAAUGUGUAAGUAACUAUGCACGUCUUGACGGUACCUAAUCAGAAAGCCACGGCUAACUACGUG